GACGUUUGGCGCAAUGGAAGCGCGCCUGCUUGCAGGAGACCUGGGUUCGAUUCCCAGCGAUGUCA
rfam:Aphanomyces astaci strain APO3 cont1.3709, whole genome shotgun sequence.